rnacentral:lncRNA from 1 species
CAUUAAGUUCUCUUGAACUACUAGAACCUAGAUCAUGGAUAGUUGACAUAGGUCCAUCUAAUCAUACGUGCACUGAAAUUACCUUACUUCUUGAACCAUAACCAAUUACAAAACCUACACCAGUUUAUUUACUAGAUGGAUCAAUAAAAUUGGUUCAUCAUGUUGGAAAUGUCCCAUUAUCAAAUAGCUUAAUUCUUAC